rnacentral:rRNA from 1 species
CUUGGCGGCCAUAGCGCGGUGGUCCCACCUGAUCCCAUGCCGAACUCAGAAGUGAAACGCCGUAGCGCCGAUGGUAGUGUGGGGUCUCCCCAUGUGAGAUUAGGGAACUGCCAAGC